rnacentral:misc_RNA from 1 species
GGGUGGCCAGUCCGAUUGUGUUUGGGGUGGGGUAGGGAGAUAACAAGGGACAGAAGCUUUUAGUAAAUCUGCUUAUAGGAAGGAUUAUGAAGGGCAUAAAUUAUUUUGUCUUGCCAUUGGCCUAGUAGUCUAGUGAGUUAGUGCUUAUCCCAUAGUACAGGAAGUCAAGGGUUUAAACACUAGCUUCCCCUUCCCCUUUAAGAAAUUUCCAAUUAAAAAAGUUU